AACGAACGCUGGCGGCAUGCCUAACACAUGCAAGUCGAACGAGACCUUCGGGUCUAGUGGCGCACGGGUGCGUAACGCGUGGGAACCUGCCCUUAGGUUCGGAAUAACUCCCCGAAAGGGGUGCUAAUACCGGAUAAUGUCUUCGGACCAAAGAUUUAUCGCCUUUGGAUGGGCCCGCGUUGGAUUAGCUAGUUGGUAGGGUAAAAGCCUACCAAGGCGACGAUCCAUAGCUGGUCUGAGAGGAUGAUCAGCCACACUGGGACUGAGACACGGCCCAGACUCCUACGGGAGGCAGCAGUGGGGAAUAUUGGACCAUGGGCGAAAGCCUGAUCCGGCAAUGCCGCGUGAGUGAUGAAGGCCUUAGGGUUGUAAAGCUCUUUUACCCGGGAUGAUAAUGACAGUACCGGGAGAAUAAGCUCCGGCUAACUCCGUG
rnacentral:rRNA from 1 species